rnacentral:rRNA from 1 species
UACGAAGGGGGCUAGCGUUGCUCGGAUUUACUGGGCGUAAAGGGCGCGUAGGCGGAUGACCAAGUUGGGGGUGAAAGCCCGGGGCUCAACCUCGGAAUUGCCUUCAAAACUGGUUGUCUUGAGUUCGGGAGAGGUGAGUGGAACUCCGAGUGUAGAGGUGAAAUUCGUAGAUAUUCGGAAGAACACCAGUGGCGAAGGCGACUCACUGGCCCGAUACUGACGCUGAGGCGCGAAAGCGUGGGGAGCAAACAGG